AUUAAACGCUGGCGGCAUGCCUUACACAUGCAAGUCGAACGGCAGCACGGGGGCAACCCUGGUGGCGAGUGGCGGACGGGUGAGUAAAGCAUCGGAACGUAUCCUGGAGUGGGGGAUAACGUAGCGAAAGUUACGCUAAUACCGCAUAUUCUGUGAGCAGGAAAGCAGGGGAUCGCAAGACCUUGCGCUCUGGGAGCGGCCGAUGUCGGAUUAGCUAGUUGGUGGGGUAAAGGCCUACCAAGGCGACGAUCCGUAGCGGGUCUGAGAGGAUGAUCCGCCACACUGGGACUGAGACACGGCCCAGACUCCUACGGGAGGCAGCAGUGGGGAAUUUUGGACAAUGGGCGCAAGCCUGAUCCAGCCAUGCCGCGUGAGUGAAGAAGGCCUUCGGUGUAAGCUCUUCGCGGGAGAAGUUAGCACGGGUUAAGUACCCUAGUGUAGAUGA
rnacentral:rRNA from 1 species